rnacentral:rRNA from 1 species
AGGGAUCAUUACUGAGUGUAAAAACUCCCAAACCCCUGUGAACAUACCAUCUGUUGCUUCGGCGGGAUCGCCCCGGGCGCCUUUGCGUGCCCCGGAUCCAGGCGCCCGCCGGAGGACUCCAAACUCUUGUUUUUAUAUAUGGCAUUAUCUGAGUGGCUUAUAGCAAAAUAAAUCAAAACUUUCAACAAUGGAUCUCUUGGCUCUGGCAUCGAUGAAGAACGCAGCGAAAUGCGAUAAGUAAUGCGAAUUGCAGAAUUCAGUGAAUCAUCGAAUCUUUGAACGCACAUUGCGCCCGCCAGUAUUCUGGCGGGCAUGCCUGUCUGAGCGUCAGUUCAACCCUCACAACCGGCUUUCUUGCUGGAUGUGGUGUUGGGGAUCGGCUGCCUUUCUUCUAGGUGGCCGGCCCCGAAAUAGAGUGGCGGUCUCGUCGUGGCCUCCUCUGCGUAGUAGCAAUAUCUCGCAGGCGGAGAGCGGCGUGGCUAUGCCGUAAAACACCCAACUCUUCUAAGGUUGACCUC